rnacentral:lncRNA from 1 species
CCGCCCCUCCUGCAGCAGCUUAGUCUCGUCGACGAAGCAGGCGAGGCGCAAGUCAACUCAAACACGCCUACUAUUUACAACCACAAAAUGCGAGGGGUCCAAAGCCCACUAUCGCGAGAGUAAACUGCGUCGACCUAAGAAGCGUUUUUCUUCUGGUGGGUGCGCUAUGAACCAAGUAUGUUCAUAAAUGUAAGUAUGUUGUAGCGUGACCUUUUUACAGUUCUGUCUAACCACUAAGAAGAAGGUGAUGUGUUUUCAUGAUAUUUGUUAUUCAGAUAGACAUAACAUUUGAAUGAAAUCAUGUUUUUAAUUUAUUUAUUAGAAUAUUUUUAAGAUCUACUAGAGGUGUUUUCUGGAGCUGUUGCUCAUUUUUCAGGCUUAGACUGCAGUUGAUAUAUUUUUUUCAUACAGAGAUUCAUUAAUAUGAUAUUUAUUUAAGAGCAGGCUAUUAUUGCACAUUUGAUUUGAUCAGUUGAUUUACUUUAGAUUCUCACUACCAUGUAGUUGAAGAACUUGUGUCUCUUUUGCAUUUCUAUAGAUUUCCUCACUUUUUGUUAGAUCUGCAUUUUAGCUCCUUAUAUAUUCUUUAUUUUUAAACAUCUGAACUUAUUUUCUAGUUGGAAUACUGAACAGCCUCCAUCAAACUAAUACAUCAUCUUGAUUCCUGUGCCAUGUACCUGUAACUAUAAAGUCAUGCUAAACAAAUUCCUUCUUUAAAAGGAUUUCACUAAAGAGUGAAUAGAGAAUAGUGAAUAAAUAGUGAAUUAGAGAAUCUUCCUCUUUAUCUAUUUCAAAAGCAUCACAGGUGAGCUGCUGAUGGAGAAAGACCAAGACUUAGAGGAGUUGAUGUGGUUUUAGUGAUCUGGUCUGUUUGCAG